rnacentral:rRNA from 1 species
GUGAGGAAUUUUCCGCAAUGGGCGAAAGCCUGACGGAGCAAUGCCGCGUGAAGGAUGAAGGCCUAUGGGUUGUAAACUUCUUUUCUCAGAAAAGAAUUAUGACGGUAUCUGAGGAAUAAGCAUCGGCUAACUCUGUGCCAGCAGCCGCGGUAAGACAGAGGAUGCAAGCGUUAUCCGGAAUGAUUGGGCGUAAAGCGUCUGUAGGUUGUUUAAAAAGUAUUCUGUCAAAGAUUAGGGCUUAACCCUAGAUAGGCAGAAUAAACUUUUAAGCUAGAGUUUGGUAGAAGCAGAGGGAAUUCCCGGUGGAGCCGUGAAAGGCGUAGAUAUCGGGAGGAACACCAAAGGCGAAGGCACUCUGCUGGGCCAAUACUAACACUGAGAGACGAAAGCGAGGGGAGCAAAUGGGAUUAGAAACCCCAGUAGUCC